CUUAGACAAUCCAAGAUUCUUGUUGGGAAUGAAACAGCUAGGACUGAAAAUAUAAUUUCAGGAAUUGUUACUGACAUAACUGUGACAGAUGAGAGAAGUGUGGAAACUUCAGAAGUCUGUUAUAUUGAGAGGUGCAGAUGCUAUAGUCAAAAGGAUUAUUUCAUAAGCAUGUAUAUCUUUUAAACGUUAUAUGUAUCCAUGUGAGCUGGGGAUUGUAUUCUAGCUCCAUGGGAGGAAGGUUACCGAGUUUCCCCCAACAGCUAAAAUCAUUGGUGAACCCCUGCAAAUUCCUGGACGGAUAAUUCAAAAGCAGUACCACCCCCUAGGAGAAUUGCAUAUACAGGUUCAGACAGAGUUCAAAAGGCUAAGAGACAAAGAAAGGGUGUUUGGUAUAAUGGGUCAUCACAAACUGACUCAGAGUCCCUCAUGGUCCAGAAACUGACAUGAGAUUGUAACCCAAGAGGCCAAAAACCCUGCUGGAAGGGUUUGAAGCACCUGAAAGCUGCCAGUGUCUCUCUGUGGAAGAUGAGUGACACUUGGUAAGCUUAGCAACCAGGUAGAAUGUUUGUUUUAUUUAUAUGUUUUCUUUGUAAUGUUUUUGUACUAAAUAAAUGUACUGUGCUUUGUGAAAUCUGGUAACCACUGUCAUAGCCCCUGGGAGAGAACAGAAUAGCAGGCUCUAGAUAUUGAGGUCAUACCUGUUGGGAUAGUCACAGUGAAUUUCAGGGGGACUACAAGCCUAAAUCCCUGGUCUGGAAGAAGCAUGAUGCAAAUUCCUGCUCACAGAGAGGUGAUGGCUUGAGGCCAGAGACCUCUAAACAUAAACUAUGCAAGGGGUCAGAGGUGCAUUUAGCCCUGGAACUGUGACAGUAACGGAAAAAGUAUAGGCUGGAUGAAUUAGGUAAGUAAUAAUGGGUUUAGGAAUAUUGUGUUUAGGGUAGAAUGAAAAGUCUUUUUUUCCUCUAGAUACUAGACAUAGUAGCUUGAUCUUGUAAUUUGGGAAUUACAAGGUAGACUGAUUUUUGUAGCAGUAAAACUCUUGAAAAUGUC